rnacentral:rRNA from 1 species
UGGGAAUUUUGGACAAUUGGGCGAAAGCCUGAUCCAGCAAUGCCGCGUGUGUGAAGAAGGCCUUCGGGUUGUAAAGCACUUUUGUCCGGAAAGAAAUCCUUGGCUCUAAUACAGUCGGGGGAUGACGGUACCGGAAGAAUAAGCACCGGCUAACUACGUGCCAGCAGCCGCGGUAAUACGUAGGGUGCAAGCGUUAAUCGGAAUUACUGGGCGUAAAGCGUGCGCAGGCGGUUUGCUAAGACCGAUGUGAAAUCCCCGGGCUCAACCUGGGAACUGCAUUGGUGACUGGCAGGCUAGAGUAUGGCAGAGGGGGGUAGAAUUCCACGUGUAGCAGUGAAAUGCGUAGAGAUGUGGAGGAAUACCGAUGGCGAAGGCAGCCCCUGGGCCAAUACUGACGCUCAUGCACGAAAGCGUGGGGAGCAAAACAGGAUUAGAUACCCUGGUAGUCCACGCCCUAAANGAUGUCAACUAGUUGUUGGGGAUUCAUUUCCUUAGUAACGUAGCUAACGCGUGAAGUUGACCGCCUGGGGAGUACGGUCGCAAGAUUAAAACUUAAAGGAAUUGACGGGGUCAUAGCUG